AUAUAUAAUCAACCCUCUUGUUUGAGUGGCUUGGAUGUGGGGGCUUGCUGGCCUCUUAAAAGGUUCAGCUCCCCUGAAAUGCAUUAGUGGAACGACCUGUUCAUUCAUUGGUGUGAUAACUAUCUACGCUAUUGAACGUGAGGCAGUUCAGCUUUCUAACUGUCCUUGGACAAUUCAUUGUUGU
rnacentral:misc_RNA from 2 species